AUUGAACGCUGGCGGCAUGCCUUACACAUGCAAGUCGAACGGCAGCACGGGUGCUUGCACCUGGUGGCGAGUGGCGAACGGGUGAGUAAUACAUCGGAACAUGUCCUGUAGUGGGGGAUAGCCCGGCGAAAGCCGGAUUAAUACUGCAUACGAUCUACGGAUGAAAGCGGGGGACCUUCGGGCCUCGCGCUAUAGGGUUGGCCGAUGGCUGAUUAGCUAGUUGGUGGGGUAAAGGCCUACCAAGGCGACGAUCAGUAGCUGGUCUGAGAGGACGACCAGCCACACUGGGACUGAGACACGGCCCAGACUCCUACGGGAGGCAGCAGUGGGGAAUUUUGGACAAAGGGCGAAAGCCUGAUCCAGCAAUGCCGCGUGUGUGAAGAAGGCCUUCGGGUUGUAAAGCACUUUUGUCCGGAAAGAAAUCCUUGGCCCUAAUACGGUCGGGGGAUGACGGUACCGGAAGAAUAAGCACCGGCUAACUACGUG
rnacentral:rRNA from 1 species